CCGCACACCGCCGUCAUCGGGGCCUUUGAGUCGCAGCACGGAGACGGCGGGGAUGGAGGCCCGGAGGUCCCGGUGCUGCUGCUGGAGGGAGCGCUGAGCGCCCGCAGCCAUCGGCACCGACACCGACACCGACACCUCCACCACGGCCCGGCCCGCAUCGGCUGCGGGGUCUGCGGUGACGGCUGCGAUGGGCACUGGGUUGGGGUCCACGAUGGGGUCCGGGAUGGGGUCCACGAUGGGGUCGGGAUGGGUCCGGGAUGUGUCCAGUUUGGGGUCGCAGGAUGCGGGUCCGUGGGGUCGGGAUGUCUUCCAGGUUGGGGUCCAGGAUGGGGUCCCAGAUGGGGUCCACGAUGGGGUCCGGGAUGUCUUCCAGGUUGGGGUCCAGGAUGGGGUCUGGGAUGGGUUCCCGGUUGGGGUCCAGGAUGGGGUCCGGGAUGGCCCAUGAAUUGGGAUCCAGAUUGGGUCGUGAGUUGGGGUUCAGGUUGGGGUCCAGGUUGGGUCGUGAGUUGGGGUCCAGGUUGGGUUCUGGGAUGCGCCAUGAAUUGGGGUCCAAGUUGGGGUCCAGGAUGGGUUCCACAUUGGGGUCCGGGAUGGACCAUGAAUUGGGGUCCAGGUUGGGGUCCGGGUUGGGUCGUGAGUUGGGGUCCAGGUUGGGGUCCAGGUUGGGUUCUGGGAUGGGCCAUGAUUUGGGAUCUCCAUUGGGUUCCAUGUUGGGCCAUGAAUUGGGAUCGGUGUUGGGAUCCACAUCGGGUUCCGGGUUGGGCCGUGAUUUGGGAUCCACAUCGGGUUCCACAUCGGGUUCCAGGAUGGGCCACCAAUUGGGAUCUCCAUGGGGUUCCAGGUUGGGUUCUUCAUUGAGCCACGCAUUGGGAUCCACGUUGGGAUCCACACUCCAUUCUCCAUAGGGCCACACAUCGGGAUCUGUGUUGGGAUCAAUGUUGGGUUCCACAUCAGCGUUGGGCAGCGCUUUGAGAUUCAUCUAUUGGGAUCCGUAUUGGGAUCCAUGCUAAGAAAUGCCCCAGGAUCCAUAUUGGGAUCCGUAUUGGGAUCUGUAUGGGAUCCAUGCCGGGAAAUGCCCCCGGGAUCUGUAUUGGGAUCUGUAUGGGAUCCAUGCUGGGAAAUGCCCCGGGAUCUGUAUUGGGAUCAGUAUGGGAUCCAUGCUAAGAAAUGCCCCGGGAUCCAUAUUGGGAUCCGUAUUGGGAUCUAUAUGGGAUCCAUGCUGGGAAAUGCCCCGGAGUCCCUAUUGCGACCCACAU
ensembl:lncRNA